rnacentral:rRNA from 1 species
AACGGUGGGUACUAGGUGUGGGUUUCCUUCCUUGGGAUCCGUGCCGUAGCUAACGCAUUAAGUACCCCGCCUGGGGAGUACGGCCGCAAGGCUAAAACUCAAAGAAAUUGACGGGGGCCCGCACAAGCGGCGGAGCAUGUGGAUUAAUUCGAUGCAACGCGAAGAACCUUACCUGGGUUUGACAUGCACAGGACGGCGGCAGAGAUGUCGUUUCCCUUGUGGCCUGUGUGCAGGUGGUGCAUGGCUGUCGUCAGCUCGUGUCGUGAGAUGUUGGGUUAAGUCCCGCAACGAGCGCAACCCUUAUUUCAUGUUGCCAGCGCGUUAUGGCGGGGACUCGUGAGAGACUGCCGGGGUCAACUCGGAGGAAGGUGGGGAUGACGUCAAGUCAUCAUGCCCCUUAUGUCCAGGGCUUCACACAUGCUACAAUGGCCGGUACAAAGGGCUGCGAUGCCGCGAGGCUUAGCGAAUCCUUUAAAGCCGGUCUCAGUUCGGAUCGGGGUCUGCAACUCGACCCCGUGAAGUCGGAGUCGCUAGU